rnacentral:RNase_P_RNA from 7 species
CCUGCUCCUUCGAUGAUCGCUGCGCCCCGUUCUACGGGGCGAAGAGGAACGUCCGGGCUUCACCGGAACGCCAUGCGGGUAAUGCCCGUCCGUGCGUCACAUAUCCGGUAAAGGCGCAUGAGGACCAGUGCCACAGUGACGAAUCACCUUUUGGUGAGUGAAACGCCUCGGAAUGACCGAGGACUGCGGCUUCCAAGCUCAGUUGGUAAACUCAUGGUGAAGCAAGGAGGAAUUGGGUUAUAGGGAUUCUUGAUGGUUCCGUCAGGCCUAUGACCCCUCCGCUAAUGCCCCAGUAGUACGUGCUUCGCACGACUACAGGGCGAGAGGUCCCGAGCAAUCGGUACCCUAGAGAGAUGAUCAUCUGGCCUGUAGUGAUGCGUAAGCAUCUACUACUGGGCGACACAGAACCCGGCGUAGGAAGGGGCAGGAUAA